rnacentral:tRNA from 1 species
GCAAGCGUGGCGGAUAAAGUUGGCAAGCCUAAGCGUUCA